rnacentral:lncRNA from 1 species
UCUCUCAGGCAUAAUACUUCCUUUGGGAUCUGACAAGUUACAUCACCCUCCUGCUACAAUUUUCCUUAUCUGCUAAAUUAAGAUAAUGCCACUUAUAAUGCUUAAUGUUGUAAAAAUAUUAAUACAUGCAAAAUCAUUUGUACAGGAAGACAAGCACUGCAAGAGCUAUGAAUUAAUACUGUGGCCUUCUCCUGCGAUUUUAGUUAUGGAAGAGUGACACCUAGAACAUACAAAGGCAGGGCCAGAACCUCAGUGCAGCUGGCAAUGUGUGCAUGCAAAAGCAAGAUGACGGUCUCUGCGUACACACAGCUUACUCUAGACUGAGCUAACAAAGCAGUGAAAAUAUUUUCAUGUUACAUAGGUUUUCCCAAAAUCCGACCAUGCACCAAUCUUUAGAAAGGCUACAACCAAUCAUAGCCUCUUGCAAAAAAUUAAAGGCCUCCACAUUCACAUAAAAACAGUUGAUCUUAAUAGCUAAUACCUAUCUAUUCAUAAGGAAUACGUUUUUACCAUCAGUUUAAAUGAAGAGAAUGUAUUUACCUGGAAGUGAAAGGUUAAUUUCAAGAAAGCAUGAUAAAACCCUGAAACCUUGGGGAAAAAAAAAAAAAAAAAAAAAAAAAAGUAGUUCCCCAAAAACGUGAAAAAUUCCUACAAAACAAAAGGAAAAUGUCUUAGAAAGCAGAGGAGGAAUUCCUAGAAAAUAUACAAGAAAACAUACAGAAAGCAGAGAAAAAAUUCAUACAAGGACAGAGAGAAGACAUACAAACUGGAGAACUUCGGUCUGGAAGGGAGAGGUCUCCAAAAGCACAAGGAAAAUCCCAAAAACACAGGAGAAAAAUUGCCAGAAAGGGGACAAGGGGAAUUCCUGGAAAGUACAGGAAAAUUCCUGGAAAUGAGAAAGAAUUUCUAGAAAGCACACUGGCACUUCCUGGAACAUCUGGAGGAAAGUUACUGUGAAACAUCAGGACAAUUCCUACAAAGUAGAUGGGAAAUAAUCCUAGAAAGCAAAUGAGAAAUAUACAUGGAAAGCAGAAGAUGAGGUUUUCUAGAAAUUACAAUGUAAAUACCUACAAAGCUGAAGGGUGAAUUCCUAGAAAGCAGGGCAGGAAUUUAAGGAUCUUAAGCUCUCUUCCAGAAUGUAAACACCUAGAAGUACCACGACAUAGCAUUGACUGUGAAAAUACUUUGAGUAUUUAGUUGAUUUAGCCCUAAAUAUGCCAGUGUUUUGGGGCUUUAGAAAUGCUUAUAAACAAUUCUUUUCCCGCAUACAUACCUUAGAAAAAUCCAGGUCAGAGGUUCAUUAAACUGCAUUAACAUGUUACACUAAACAGUUUGGUUGUUUGUAUAAAAGUACAGCCCAUACUUGAUUUUUUUCAUGCUCCUCCUCUCUUAUUUGAUAUUUCUGUAUUAUCCCUUAAUUAUACAGAGGAUGAAUAAAAGUUACAGUGGACCAAAUUAUUAACA